GAUGAAGAACGCAGCGAAAUGCGAUAAGUAAUGUGAAUUGCAGAAUUCAGUGAAUCAUCGAAUUUUUGAACGCACAUUGCGCCCUCUGGUAUUCCGGGGGGCAUGCCUGUUCGAGCGUCAUUACAACCCUCAAGCAUUGCUUGGUAUUGGACAUUGCCAGUUUCUGGCAGGUCUUAAAAUCAGUGGCGGUGCCAUUUGGCUUCAAGCGUAGUAAUUCUUCUCGCUUUGGAGAUCCAAGUGGUUACUUGCCAAUAACCCCCAAUUUUUUCAGGUUGACCUCGGAUCAGGUAGGGAUACCCGCUGAACUUAAGCAUAUCAAUAAGCGGAGGA
rnacentral:misc_RNA from 1 species